rnacentral:lncRNA from 1 species
GUCAUUACCACCACAUAACCAUAAGCUCUUGUUUCCUUUCUUUCUCUCUCUCUUUAUCACUCUCUAACUCACCUCCACCAACUUCUAAUUUGCCAUCUUUUGAUUCUGAGUCAAAAAACCAGUGAGGAAAUUUCAGCAUAGUUUCAAGGGGGUUUGGGGAAAUCAAGAGACGUAAUAAAAUCGAGAUCUGAAACAGGGACGAAUUAAUCAGAAACUUAAAUGAGGAAGCGGCAAGUAGUUUUGAGAAGAACAGAACAAGCUUCAGCAGCUUCAUCUUUCACCGUCGUGAGAUAUGGAGAGUGCCAGAAGAACCAUGCUGCUGGGGUCGGAGGCUACGCUGUUGACGGAUGCAGAGAGUUCAUGGCAAGUAAUGGAGAGGAGGGAACAACUGCUGCACUCACCUGUGCUGCUUGUGGCUGCCACAGGAACUUCCACAGACGAGAAGUCGAGACCGUCUGCGAGUGCUCUUCGCCUUCUUCAAAUGGUGCCUAAUUAAAAUAAUUAAGCAGCUAAUUUAUGUAUAUGUAAUUAUUUUAUUAAGUGUGUGGUUU